UACGUAGGGUCCAAGCGUUAUCCGGAAUCACUGGGCGUAAAGGGUGCGUAGGCGGUCUUCUAAGUUUGAUGUGAAAUUCCGGGGCUCAACCCUGGCAUGGCAUUGAAUACUGGAGGACUAGAGUACCGGAGAGGAAACUGGAAUUUACGGUGUAGCAGUGAAAUGCGUAGAGAUCGGGAGGAACACCAGAGGCGAAGGCGGCAAGCUGGAUGGGCACUGACACUCAACUGCGAAAGCGUGGGGAGCAAACAGG
rnacentral:rRNA from 1 species